GAUGAACGCUGGCGGCGUGCCUAAUACAUGCCAGUCGAACGAACAGACGAGGAGCUUGCUCCUCUGACGUUAGCGGCGGACGGGUGAGUAACACGUGGAUAACCUACCUAUAUGACUGGGAUAAUUUCGGGAAACCGGAUCUAAUACCAGAUAAUAUAUUGAACCGCAUGGUUCAAUAGUGAAAGACGGUUUUGCUGUCACUUAUAGAUGGUUCCGCGCCGCAUUAGCUGGUUGGUAAGUUAACGGCUUACCAAGGCAACGAUGCGUAGCCGACCUGAGAGGGUGAUCGGCCACACUGGAACUGAGACACGGUCCAGACUCCUACGGGAGGCAGCAGUAGGGAAUCUUCCGCAAUGGGCGCAAGCCUUACGCAGCAACGCCGCGUGAGUGAUGAAGGUCUUCGGAUCGUAAAACUCUGUUAUUAGGGAAGAACAAAUGUGUAAGUAACCAUGCACGUCUUGACGGUACCUAAUCAGAAAGCAACGGCUAACUACGUG
rnacentral:rRNA from 1 species